GUCGUUGUCAUCAUUGUCAUCGUCAUCGUCGUUGUUGUCGUCGUCGUCAUUAUUAUUGUUGAUGUUGAUGUUGUUGUUGUUGUUUUUGUUGUUGUUGUUGUUGUUGUUGUUGUUGUUGUUGUUUUCGUCGUCGUUGUCUUUGUUUUCGUCGUAGUCGUCGUCGUCCUCGUUGUUGUUGUUGUUGUUGUUGUUGUUGUUUCUGUUGUUGUUUGUAGCGACCUGACUCAAAACGAGUAAAGCCUCUGUGUAGCUAUGCCAUCCCUGGAUCAGUAUGCUGGCACACAC
rnacentral:lncRNA from 1 species